GAGGGUAUAGCUCAGUGGUAGAGUACGUGCUUAGUGUGCACAAGUUCCUGGGUUCAGUCCCCAGUACCUCCA
rnacentral:tRNA from 1 species